GUGGAGGCUGAACCCAAUGAUGUGACCCAGCCAAUGUCGUCGGAGCACCUGCAAGAGACAGUUGAUGCUGCUGCUGCAAAAGACCAUGCUUUGAUUGAAGUUGAAGAAACUUGUGGGAGUGACUGAUCUUCCAGAAACUUGUGGGAGUGACUGAUCUUCCAGAACAGGCUAACCAACUGCUGACUCUGGAUUUUUCUGUGGAGGGGAUAGAUCGUGCCUGUGAACAUUGCAGUCGCUAGGUCGUGGGCUUAUGUGCUACGUUAGGAGGAAACUUGAGGGUG
rnacentral:lncRNA from 1 species